AGGGUUUGAUCAUGGCUCAGAACGUACGCUGGCGGCACGCCUAACACAUGCAAGUCGAACGAAGUAGCAAUACUUAGUGGCAGACGGGUGAGUAACAUGUAGGUAUCUGCCCUUUGGCCUGGAAUAACACGAGGAAACUUGUGCUAAUACUGGAUAAGUCUUUACGGAGAAAGCUUUAUGCACCAAUGGAUGAGCCUGCACUUGAUUAGUUUGUUGGUAGGGUAAUGGCCUACCAAGACUAUGAUCAAUAGCUGAUUUGAGAGGAUGAUCAGCCACAUUGGGACUGAGACACGGCCCAAACUCCUACGGGAGGCAGCAGUGGGGAAUCUUGCACAAUGGAGGAAACUCUGAUGCAGCGAUGCCGCGUGAGUGAAGAAGGCCUUUGGGUUGUAAAGCUCUUUCGUCGGGGAAGAAAAUGACUGUACCCGAAUAAGAAGGUCCGGCUAACUUCGUGCCAGCAGCCGCGGUAAUACGAAGGGACCUAGCGUAGUUCGGAAUUACUGGGCUUAAAGAGUUCGUAGGUGGUUGAAAAAGUUGGUGGUGAAAUCCCAGAGCUUAACUCUGGAACUGCCAUCAAAACUUUUCAGCUAGAGUUUGAUAGAGGAAAGCAGAAUUUCUAGUGUAGAGGUGAAAUUCGUAGAUAUUAGAAAGAAUACCAAUUGCGAAGGCAGCUUUCUGGAUCAUUACUGACACUGAGGAACGAAAGCAUGGGUAGCGAAGAGGAUUAGAUACCCUCGUAGUCCAUGCCGUAAACGAUGUGUGUUAGACGUUGGAAAUUUAUUUUCAGUGUCGCAGCGAAAGCGAUAAACACACCGCCUGGGGAGUACGACCGCAAGGUUAAAACUCAAAUGAAUUGACGGGGACCCGCACAAGUAGUGGAGCAUGUGGUUUAAUUCGAAGAUACGCGCAGAACCUUACCAACACUUGACAUGUUCGUCGCGACUUUAAGAGAUUAAAGUUUUCGGUUCGGCCGGACGAAACACAGGUGCUGCAUGGCUGUCGUCAGCUCGUGUCGUGAGAUGUUGGGUUAAGUCCCGCAACGAGCGCAACCCUCACUUUUAGUUGCCAUCAUUUAGUUGGGCACUCUGAAAGAACUGCCAGUGAUAAGCUGGAGGAAGGUGGGGAUGACGUCAAGUCCUCAUGGCCCUUACGUGUUGGGCUACACACGUGCUACAAUGGUAUCUACAACAGGAAGCGAAACAGCGAUGUUAAGCAAAUCCUUAAAAGAUACCUCAGUUCGGAUUGCACUCUGCAACUCGAGUGCAUGAAGCUGGAAUUACUAGUAAUCGUGGAUCAGCGUGCCACGGUGAAUGCGUUCCCGGGUCUUGUACACACCGCCCGUCACACCAUGGGAGUUGGUUCUACCUUAAGGCAAGGUUUAAUACCCUUGACCACGGUAUAGUCAGCGACUGGGGUGAAGUCAUAACAAGGUAACCGUA
rnacentral:rRNA from 1 species